rnacentral:rRNA from 1 species
GACAGAGGCCUCAAGCGUUAGGCGGAAUCACUGGGCUUAAAGCGUGUGUAGGCGGAUCGUUAAGUGUCUUGUGAAAUCCCACGGCUCACCCGUGGAACUGCUGGGCAUACUGGCGAUCUUGGGCCAACUAGGGGCAGCCGGAACAAGCGGUGGAGCGGUGAAAUGCGUAGAUAUCGCUUGGAACGCCGAAGGUGAAAACAGGCUGCUGGGGUUGUGCCGACGCUGAGACACGAAAGCCAGGGGAGCAAACGGG